rnacentral:rRNA from 1 species
GACGAACGCUGGCGGCGUGCUUAACACAUGCAAGUCGAGCGGAGCGGCGAACGGGUGAGUAACGCGUGAGUAACUGACCCCCUCUCUGGGAUAACAGUUGGAAACGGCUGCUAAUAACGGAUAGUGGGGGAUGACUCGCGUCCUAUCAGCUUGUUGGUGGGGUAGUGGCCGACCAAGGCGACGACGGGUAGCCGGCCUGAGAGGGCGACCGGCCAGAGUGGGCUGAGAUACGGGCCAAACUCCUACGGGAGGCAGCAGAGUGGAAUAUUGCCUAAUGGGGGAAACCCUGAUGCAGCACCGCCGCUUGCGGGAUGACGGCCUUCGGGUUGUAAACCGCUUUCAGCCAUGACGCGGUAGUGGCAGAAGAAGCACCGGCUAACUACGUGCCAGCCGCCGCGGUAAUUC